CAUCACACCUGCUUCUGUCGUCGUCCAUCUAUUUAGGGAUUAAUGAGCACGAACGGAGCCCGGAAAGCCAUCUCGCCUGUUCCUCUCACCGAUCGUCGCCUUCCCGCCGCACCAGACGAUCAUGUCGUCCAAACAAGGUGGGAAGUUGAAGCCCCUGAAGCAGCCAAAGGCUGACAAGAAGGAGUACGACGAGAUGGACAAAGAAAAUAUUCAGAAGAAGAAAGAUGAGGAAAAGGCGCUAAAGGAAUUAAGGGCUAAGGCAUCUCAGAAGGGAUCAUUUGGAGGCACUGGUCUUAAGAAGAGCGGAAAAAAAUAACGUAUCUGUUGCAUAUGUUUAAAAAAAAAGGAACUACCACUCUGAAUGUAGUAAGCAUAUUCUGAGUGUGCUUUGUCUUAUCAGGUUGAUGAAAGCUGUCUUUAAGUGAAUGCUUUGAACGCUAUAAUGUACUAAACAAGUAUUUCAUGGAUGUGCUUCGAUUUAUCGGGUUGAUAAAAGUCGUUUUGGAGUUUCAAUGCUUUGAACACUUAAUGCAUGUUUAGUGACCUGGUGCUCUUGUGAACAGGUUGAAGUAUAAUUUUAUGAUCGACUGUGUUAUAGAGAGGAUAUACUUUUGCUGGGUUCAGAAACAAUUAUAAUAGAUAUUCACCUUAUUAAUUUUGUCUGAUAAUUUUGUUCGCAUUCAUCUGCCGGAAUACCGUGUUGUGUUAUGGGCAUUCUGAGCACUACUUCCAGUGACAGAAAACAGAGCGUGCUAUGUUUUCCACCUUAUUAAUCCAUUUUACUCCUCUGCAGGUUUUGCAUCAUCAGGUACGAUUUAAUUCUACGCUGAAGUCAUUUCCUUAGUUAUCAUCUCUUCCAAUAUUCUCCAUUACCCCCUACAAGUAUGCAUUAGAACUUAUGCUUGCUGCGCCUCUGGGUUUUCAGAUGAGUUCCAGUGAGAAGGUGAAGGAAUUGUUUUGGCGUUCCAACUCGAUGGAGGAAGCAGAUGAUUCCGGGAUGCAAACAAAGUUGCGUCUUUAUCCA